CCGCAAAUAGAUGACGAUUAACGUUGUGGGACAAGAUAAGCCCCAAGGAGAGCAAACUUUUUAAAGUCUUCAGUGAAGCAAAGAUUGCUAACUGGCUGUGACAGAUGGCGCGUUGAGAGAAAGGGAGUGAAGCUUUCUAUCCUAAAGUUAUCUUGCCUGCGUACUGCCAGCCCUGCGUACUUCAGAACAGUUUUGGGCGCAUAGGCACUGUUGAAACGCGGACGACGGUUGCGUCGCCGAGUUUGCCGCUUUCGCCACACUGAAGCACUUUGCCGACGACUGGUAAUUCCACGCUGCACACCAUCGAAGCUACGACGACGAUGUUCUAUGCCGAGGCACUGCCAGUUAAUGGGGGCCAGGCCAUCGACUGCGACGUUCCCAUCACCCAGGUGUCGUCCGGCAGAACGUCAACGCCAAGUGCGACUCAACAAACACCCUCUACGCGGAAAAUGGUGCAAUGCAAUCGCGACAGGCAGGACUGCUGGAAUCAGCGACAGUUUGCGUUCAGCCCAGAGUUUCUUGCGAAAUUGGACACUCCAGAAUGGUGCGGCUGCACGAUAGAGAACUGGGCAUCUUUCAUCGCAGGCGAAACGCGACCCAGGAUCCGAAAUGAGCUCUUCUCUUACAAUUACGUGCUCAUUCCGGAGAUGAGACGUUAUGAAGAAAUAAGUGUUAUUUACUUCAAUCUUUAUGCGUACAAAAGCUUUUCAAGAGAUCCGCACGAGUUACCGUCAGAGAAGAAGUUGGAACUGCGAUUUCUGCACACCACUGAUAAGGCAAGGGACAUGUUAGCGUGUGAGGACAUUUGUUGGGAGAAAUUACAUCCUACAAUUGAAAUUGAUGGUGAGAAAGUGUACUUCGUGGGGUCCAUCAAGCAUUACGUGAGCCCUGGUGCAUUGGAAACAGGCGGCUUCGUCGCCGAUGACAAGCUAAGCCUGCUAUUCAAAGCGACACCUUAGCCGGUGAUUUCAGAUGCGAGAGUGACUUGGCGAAACAUUCUCUGGUUAUGGUCGCCCACGUCAUUAUAAAACCUUUUUUGUAAGCGAGUUGAUUAUAUGUCGGUAUAUUUAUUUUUUCAGCGCGGGUGGUGGUCGACACUCGGGUUUUCAUUGAUUUCGUUUGAAUAGUGACUGCAGCUUUCUGCGGAAAGAAAUCGGCAUGUGCAGCUAAACCACUGAUGCAUGCAAGACGGCCAGCGUUUGCUGCAGCAGCGAUGUGGGCCACGAUGCACCGAUUGUCUCAUCCUAUUUUGUGCAGGGGUAAUAUAAUUAUAUUGGCAAGCAAAUUGGAUGUGAACAAGUGAAAUAAGUAAUAAAGAGUGCAUAUUUUUAAACCAU